rnacentral:tRNA from 1 species
CGGGGUGUAACUGAAUUGGAACAGUAGCUGUCUUAUACACAGAAGACCCUGAUAAGGUACUAUGGGAGUCCGAGCCUCCCCACCCCGA